rnacentral:rRNA from 3 species
GACUCUCGGCAACGGAUAUCUCGGCUCACGCAUCGAUGAAGAACGUAGCAAAAUGCGAUACUUGGUGUGAAUUGCAGAAUCCCGUGAACCAUCGAGUUUUUGAACGCAAGUUGCGCCCGAAGCCUUUUGGCUGAGGGCACGUCUGCCUGGGCGUCACAC